UGUGCAUUUGAAACCUGAGUAAGCAAGUAAGAAACUCAGCUACCAUACUGGAGAAACCAUGUGAAGAUAAAGAAUACCAAAGAACCCCAGGUUUUCAAACACAAGAAUUUGUGUCUUCCCAAUCUAAGCAUCAGACAUCAGAUGUAGUCAUGUAAGAAACUGGUUGGAACUAAGCACCCAGAAGGGAUGGAGAUUUUAAUGCUUUAUAUAGCAAGAGUGGAGAAGCAAGAGGAGUGGUUUCCUUUCAUCCACUAACAGUAAUUAAAACAAUGCGACAAUACUUAAAGUUGGUGCUCCGUUUCUUCAUCUUAAAAGUCAGAGAGCCACCAACCAGCGAGGAAGCCCAAGCAGCUACAUAGAGAGGCUCCAUGGAGAAGAACCAAGACCCUUUGCCAACAGCUCCAACUGAGCUCCCAUCUGGCACCCAGAAACAACUUCCAGUCAUAUGGCAUUUCCUGUCAGCUGUCUGGCUAUCUACCAGAGAAAAGAAAAAUCUCCCAAUAUGGUUCCUGUGGGAAUUCAAAUUGAAUUAGGCUCCAACAGGUCUGAGACCAUGUCUUCUGAAAAUCGUGGAUGCCCAAUAAAUAUGAUUUGAAACUGUCUUGCUGGAAGGACUAAGGCUCUCUAUAAUCCAGUCAAGGCCAGAAAGUCUACCCUUUACUCAGCUAAUGGUGUCUCCUCCUUUCUUCAUCUUGCCUGCUAUUAAAUAGAGCUUUAUAUAGUACCCAGACUGUCAGCCCUCUCAGAUGAAUUACUUUUUCUGAAAAUAAAAUAAAAUAAAAUGAUUCAUGGCCUUGACCCUUGGGGCUGGAAAGUAAUGUCUCAUUGAGUGAAAAGGCAGCAUAAAACUUUAGAAAAACUGCAAUUUAUAUUUCAGCUCAUACCUGCUAACUUUCCAGCAGUUGAUGGAAAUUAUUGUGAAGAAACAAAAAAGAAUUUGGCCAUGUGGUAUGGAAAUAGCAAUAAAAAACUAUUCUGCAUAUAAAAAAUAAAGGAAAGCAAUUAUUAGUAGUCCAGCUACUAGUAGGGUUCAGUCAUUGGUUCUUUUACUCAUUCAGGAUAUUAUAAUCUCUUUGGGGAAAGUUUAUUCCAAAACAUUACUCUUAAUAACUCAUUUGUCGUCUUAUUUAUGUGAAGUAGAUCCACUAAUUCUAGCACAGAAAGACAAAAAUGUGUAAGUAAAAUAUAUUUGGUUUAAGUAGAGUGUAGGAAUGAGGUCAAAUUAUUUUACCAGUUUGAAUAUCAAAAUUCUUAAAGAUUAAUUAAAGAGGGAAUAAAGAGGAACAGAAAACACUAAGUUCAGUCACUCUUCUUAUGUUUUUUUUGCAUUUAUUUUAAAAAGUCAUACAUUGUUUCAAUAGGAAAAAAGUAAUUUAUUAUUUUAAAUGUAGCUGAACUUUCUCCAUUUUGUAUCUUUUGCUUUCUACUUUUGUCCAUUUACAAAUAAAUAUGUAUUAAAUAUCCACUUUGUGCAAUGCAAUAAUAUAAAUAAAACAAUUCCUGACAAUAAA